CCUGCAGGUGUGCCUGGUUAGGAAACUUCCUUUGUUGCUUGCUAGACUGCUUAUGCUUUUAAUAUUAAAACUAUGUAUCAAGUAGGUAAUGGUUACCAGGUGGGAAAGUUGGGGAACAGAAGCAGAAUGAGGUGCUUAUUGUAGCGAGGACAAAUUGAGCAAUCUACUAUUUGAAUUACAUCACUUGCAACUUCACUUCCCUCGGCAAGAGUUUCCGGGAAUAAUGGCCAAAAUAAAGUGCACAGAGAGGCUUUGAGAAGACUAUGACAAUGGCUCUUCCUGUAGAACGCUGCCAGAAAUGAAAACCAACCAUGACAGUUUUUCCUGUUCUGAGCUCCUGCCCCUUGCUACCAUGAUGGACUCCCCUGGAACCCUCAGCCCAGAGGAACUCUGUUUUUUUCAGCUGCUUUUGGUCAUGGCAUUUUUAUCACAGCCACAGAAAGAAAAGUGAUUAAGACAGUGCUCUGGGCAUCAAAAUAAACAAUAUUUGGGGACUUUAUAAGAUAGAAAGGAAACUGAAGUUCAAGCCCAAUGUUGGCAUACAUCACCUCUAUAACAAGGAGAUGCACCGGGAAGGGGUUCAAGGUCUUUGAGGAACAUUGUUUUCUUGUUCCUAGUCUUGACCUCUGCGGUCAGCAGAACUCCGGUGCACGUUGGUGGGGCUCUAAGACCGUCAAACACUGGCUUCCCGAAAACACCUUGUCCUGAGACACCUUGUUCAGAGAGCAAAGCCAGUUUUAUUGGUUACUGCUGUGUGGUGAUCACUGCCUCCCCGGUCUUGGGGAUAGUCUUGCUAAGGGUAUCAGCAGCGUCUGUGUAAAGUGUUCAGGGUUUACCCCGGAACUUCUAAUUCCUGGUUAGCUCUGACAAACCUAGUUCCCGAAAGCUUGAGUUUCCAGGCAAAUACUGAAAAGGAAGCCAUUAUCUGAGGAGCUUAAUUAAGGUAUCUGGUUUGAAAGAAGGUAAAUUGAUCUAGUGUCCAGAUGGGUGGAAUUUUGGUACGUUCCGGAGGUAAGCAAUAGUUAUAGCAAUUAUAAUUAUAAACUCCCUGGCAAGCGCUUCCUGUAACAGUGAGUUUAUGUUAGUGCAGACAGUUGAAUUGCUGCGUGCUGUGGACGGAAAGUUGUAGAGAGGGUUUCAGUUGUCAAUACUUCCCCCCAACGCACACAGUGUUUUUUCUUGUUGAGACUUUGGAAAUUUCGGUUCAGGAGCCAUAUGAAAUGUUGCAUCAGUUUGCAAAGUUCUUUCUGUUUUCGGUGACACUUUUUCGUUUAGUUGACUUAGAAUUUGCUUUAUUCUGUUGUCAGUUGAGAUUUAUUUUGUAAAAUGAAAUUAAAAUGCCAACAGAGCAUUUAGAGUGCAUAAUGGCCUCUAAAACGAGAACAUCCAGGCUCGAUCAACAUAACUUUUUCCAUUUUAAGUCAUGGUCAAAAUUGGAAGGAAAAAAUUUUAAAGUAUGAUUUCUUUUUUUC